UAGAUCUAGAUAUACUAGUCUAUAGUCUAUUUAGUCUAUACAAUAAGACUAUACAUAUAAUUAUAACUAUAUUCUAUAGUCAGUUAGUAUAAAUUAAUAAAUACUUUGUACUACCUAUACUGCCUAUAGUAUUAGUCAUAAUAGUCUCUCACUAUAGAGUAGGUAUAGACUAUAGAGUUUACUAUUUACUGACUGUAUAAGUAAGUAUAAUAUAGAUCUAGAUCUAUAUCUAGAUUCUAAUCUAGUAUUUUUAAUGAUUUACCAAAUUGCAUUAGGUCAGGAACAAAAGUCAGAUUAUUUGCAGACGAUUGCAUAAUAUAGAUCGAGGUCUAUAGAACAAUAAAAAACACAUAAGAUUCAGAAAUUUUACAAAGAGAAUUAGUUGAAUUUUACAGAAAUGGGAAUCAAAUUGGAGCAUGCGAUGUCUUUCCACCCAGAAAAAUGUCAGUUAUUAAGAGUAACAAAAAAACUAAAACAAAUUAAUUCCACUUAUUUUAUUCAUGAUAAACCAGUAACACAGACUAAAAACACAAAAUACCUAGAGAGGUGUUAUAAUAAAUGAAAAACUGUCAUGGAAUGCCAAUAUUGAUGAAACUAUCAAAAAAUCAAACUUGACAAAGCAUUAGGGUUUAUUAAAAGAAAUUUCAAUAAAUCAAAUAAGAACAUAAAACUGAAAUGUUAUUUAACCUUGGUUAGGCCAAUAAUAGAAUAUAUGCAUCCUCUGUUUGGGACCCCUCAACUCAUGGAAUGGGUUGCCUGAGCUAGCCAGGAAAACCAGUGACUUGGCAGAAUUUAGGUCGUUGGUUAAUAUGCAUGACUAAAGGCAUGAUGUGUAGGACGUAAUCAUCUUCUUUUUUGAAGUAACAUCUGUAUCAUAUAAGAUAGGAUAAGAUCUAGUGACUAUACAGAUUGUCUUCAAUUUUAAUACAUGAUGAAAAAAGAAGCUAGUUUUGCUAACUUUCAAUCUGAUGUCCAGUUCCUAGACAAUGAUCCAAAGAAAGUAUUAUUUGACCGCCAUAUACUGGAAAUGAAAAUAUAUCAAAUGAAACCAUUUUUGUUGAGCUCUUUACAAAUUGAUACAACACAGAUUCAUCCAGCUUUUCUAGAUGUUGUCUUAGUGAUUGGCCUUGAGAAUCAGGCUGACCAUGAGAUAGUGCUUCAAGACAAUGACAGGCUUAAAAAUUAUUUUGAUCAGCUUAGUCAAUGUCACUUAAUUAAAGUGGUUAAGAGAAGAAAAUCAUUGAAAACUGUGACCAGAUUCUGUAUGUGUACUGUUCAAGAUGUUGUGCCUUGCAAGUGGAUACUGGGUUUUUUGUUUCUGGCUUUAGCUAUCAUCAUCAUGGCCUGUCUGCAUUUCUUUUGGGAUUGUACAAAAAGAUCUUAGAUACUGCUCUGUAUGAUACUAUUUGUGUAAGCAAUUGUUACUUAUAAAAUAGUAUAUUAUGUACUGAAGUUGAUUGAUAAAAAAUAAGUUUUUAUGAAAAUAAUUUUUAAAGUAGUUUAGGUUAUUAGAGAAUGUUAGCUCUACCUUUAAGUUAAACAAGAAAAAAACAACUAUUAUUAUGCAACACUCUAUAUUGUUAGCUCUGUAAUUAUUUUAUUCUUGUUAUUAUAUUAAUUGUUAUUAUUUAAGAUACAUAAAUAAUAAGGAAAAAAAAAAAAAAACAUCUAAAUAAUUAGGUAAACUAAGGAGCUUUUUUUUUUCAGAUAAAUGAAAACUAGACAUGCACAUAUAAAGAUAAUAAGUGUUUUAGUUGUAGAAAAAUAACAACUGUAUUUGUAAUUAAAGUUCUUCCAUACAAUGUAAGAUAUCAAGUCAACUGACUGCUAAGUGAUGUGGUCUAUUUACGUUGAGCUGUGAUGCUAAUGAGAGGUUACUGUUAUGUCUAUUCCUGCUUUAUAACAUUCUUACUAAAUACCCAACAUUUCUAAAUGGCUUGUAGGCUACCAAACCACCAAAUCUACAGAUGGACUCUUCUAUAUUUUUACACCAGGUUCUUUUUUUCUUUGUCUGAUCGUCAGCAGGUAUUUCUUACAGUCUUCUCUCCAUUUAUAUCUUAGAUGCCAAUUCAGCCUCACUACCUAGCUCAGUGAUGCCCAAAAUAUGGCCUGUGGGCUAGAUCUGGCCUGCAACAUGAUUUUAUCCGUCAUGCAGAAAUGUUGGCACAAAGUGUAGAAAUUCCCCCCUUCUCCACCCCCCCCACCCCCCCCAAAAAAAAAUGGUUGGAAAAUGUAAAACUUUACCUGCGUUAGGGUCCUGACUUUUUCUCUGAUGAAUAGGUACCAUGCCAUUUAAAAUUUGUAAGUUUAUGAAAUGGGAGAGCCGAGCAAUCUACCAUGAAAACUGAAAGGAUCUUUACUUUUUUUGUGGAACAUGAGAAGUAUUGUUUAACUGCACCUAGAGUUUGGAGGAUCGAUAUUUACCAAAAAGAGACCAAAACAAAUGAGUUGUUGCUCACAUUUUAAAAGAGAAAUGAAGCCAGUUUCUGAUACGUAAAAAAAAGAUGAACUUCCAGUAUCCCAUUAUAAGUACUAGAUCCACAAGUUUAUGAUAAAAUUGUUUCAGGUCAAUUUCAUUUCAUUCUUGUACAUUUUCAGUCAUGUGGCCCACAACAUGAGUGUCGGAAAUUAAAAUGGCCGCAGUUUGAAUUAGGAUGGGCAUCACUGAGCUAGCUGGUGACACUUUUUAGUGUUCCUUAUGCAUUUCUACCAUCUAGUCAAGCUUUCAAAAAUGAAAUAAAGUUAGCAAGUAUUUUGUUCUUAUCUUUUCUUAUAAAAUAUUACUUAAAAAAAGAAGAUGAUUACGUCCUACGUAUGUCCCUAGGUUAAUCUAGUCAUGCAUGUUAACCAAUGACUUAAAUUUGCCAUGUCAUUGGUUUUCCUGGUUGAUUCAUGCAACCCAUUCUAUGCUCUAAUCGCACUAGGGAAGAAGAAGUAUUUGUACAAAUUUGUCUGAGCAAAUGGAACAAGGAGUGUGUCAUUCUUCUGAAGCACCUAAUAAUGUACUCCUGCAUUUUCUAUAGAGCUCCUUUUGGUCUUGGAUUACCACUGUGAAAAUAUACAAUAAACAAUACAAGUCUUGGUUUAGAGAAAAAUGCGUUCAUUUCUUGAUCAACUUUAUAAGAGUGGCUCUUGUUUUGUUGAACUGUGCCUUGAUAAUUCCCCCUUUCUGGUCAAAUCAUAAUAAGUUUAUUUUAUCAUGAAGGAAAUUGCUUUAACAUGCCUCCUACAUAACAGCAUUACUCAAUAACAUAACAUUUUGAAUAUACACUUAUGUGACAUUUUACAUUUGUUUAACCACACUAUUUCAAAUUCAGAUAUACAGAUUUCUAUAAAUUAAAAAUAUAAUAUAUACUUUUUUAGAUUAGUUAGUCAUUUAGCUCUCAUGUUUAUGUUUGUUUUGUUAUCACAGCGCCUUGAGCCUACAUUUUGUUUGUUAACAGUGCUUUAUAAAUGAAAGUAUUAUUAUUAUUAUCACCACUUAGUAAGUGUAGAAUAUUUGUGUUAUACAAAAUAACAAACAAGUGUUGAAGACAUAUAUUAGGAGCUGCAUUUAUUACGUAAACACAAUGUUGCACUGACCCUGCUAUAACACCAAUAUGUUACAGUAAUCACCUAGUGACUUCCUUGAAUGGUUUCAGUAUUGGCAGCAAGUACUAUGAUUUUUACUGAUUUAUUGGGUAAAUAUAUUGCUUGUUCAUAUCAUGUAUAUAGAGAUCUGAAAUGUUUUUGAAAUGCUGUUAUGUGAUAGUUGGACCAUGAAGUAAAAGAGAGAGUCAAAUCAUGAACACACAUGUAGGUUUGUGUUAUUCUUGUUUUUGAUGGUUGUUACUUUAUUUAAUAAGAAUAGGUUUUUACUUUAUUUUCAUGUGCUAUAUAUUUUAAGAUAUUUUGCUUUGAUUAAUAUUUUACUUAUAGUUUAUUCAAAUUUCAUUUUCUUGAAUUGCUGUAAUAAGUAGAUCUGUAAAUAUUUUUGUUUACCUCAUUUACAUUUAAUAUGAAUGUAAUGUCAUUGUUAAGUAGAUUUUUUUUUCACAAAAAAAAGAUAAUGGCUUAUUUACAUUUGGCAUUUUACCUCAUUACUAGAAGAUAGUUGAUCACAAACACUGAAGUAAAUGAUCUGAUAGAAAUAAUAAGUAAUUUAAGUUUUCAUUAUAGACUAUAUAUCUUUUGGCACUACCAGCCCCAUGUACCAAGCCUCUUAAUUUCCUUUAGCCUAUCACCAUUCAACUAGCAUCCCUAUAGUUCCCCUUUCAGACCUUGUGGUCUAUAGGGCAGAUGAUGUAGAGGUCAUCUGUUUCUAUGUUUCUUAUAAGCGUGGGCUUAUUCUGCUUUGGCUAUAGAAUAAAAUGUGAUGCCUGGCAUAACACUAUUUGUUGGCUACAAUAUUGUUACGAUUUUGGAGUAAAGAAAGUUAACUCACCGAUUGUCAGGUCGCCGAUAUCCUUCCGAUUGCAGAAGCACAAUCCACUAAGAACAGUCAAUACUCCAAGUAAUAGAAAUAAUUUCACAGUUCCCUAAUAAAAUGUACAUACCCCUAUUCACAAAAACCGAUUGAAGAAAAACAAUCCUCCAGUUACUUCACACAUCAACACACUCGCUCAGGUCAGUUUCUCCAAACAAAGUUCUUACGUGGAAAAAAUGGUCAGUCGGGGGGAACAAGUUUACAACACUGCCCCCUCCCUAGGUCUGUGCGUCCCGAUUAGACUCUCCAUCAUCUCCACAAUAACGGUGCAACCGAUCUAGGUGCACUACUUUGCAUUUGGUUCGAGGGACCUUCUGGUUCCGUACACAACGUCAUUGAUCUUUUUCACAAUCCGAUAUGGGCCUUCCCAAUCUUUCUGUAAUUUCGGCGAUCUUCCCUUCUUUCUCUUCGGGUUGUAUAGCCAGACAAGAUCAUGUUCUUCAAACCCCGUAGAAGUGGCCCUUCUAUCGUAUCUGGUCUUCAUAAGGUCGCUACUGUCUUUUAUCCUACUCCUUGCAUCUGCAUGAACCUCUUCUAGUCUCCUUCGAAAUCCUGUUACAUAUUCGCUUGCCGUUGUUGGUUGGUCUCCUGGCUGUCCAAAUAAGAGGUCCGCUGGCAUCCUAAGUUCUCGACCAAACAAUAAUUUGGCUGGUGUGUAACCUGUAGUUGCAUGAACUGCUCCUCUAUAAGACAGGAGGAAUAGGGAAAUGCAGUCAUCCCAAUCAUUUGUCUGUUCUGCUGACAUUUUAACCAAUCUCCUGAAACACAUUAGAUUCAAAGUUGCUUCCUUGAUCCAUUGGGACACCAAACCGACUAAUCCAAUGUCCUACCGAAAUAUCGACUAUUAUUGUGGUUUCCUAGUUGGGUGGGCAUCGCAAAAGCUUCAGACCAUUUACUAAAAUAGUCCAUUAUCACUAAAAUGUAUUCGUUCUCUUUGUUAGUUUCAGGGAAAGGUCCAGCUACGUCCAGUGCGAUGGUACACCUACGUUGUACUGUUGUAAGGGUCGUCUAGUUCGACGUUGCGGGCCUUUAGUUGCCGCACACCGGUCACAUUUCGGCACCAAUCUUCUACGUCUUCCUUGUACCGACACCAAUAAAACCUUUGUCACCUAAGUGACCACCUGUGGAGCCGUUGUGCAUUUCAUGUAGCACUCCUGGGAUUCUAAUCUUUGGUAAAACUAGUUGUACUCGUGUCGAGGUCCCAUCGGUGGACUCCCAAAUCCGUUUUAGGACGCCGUUGUCAAUCACCAGAGAGUCCCAUUGUGCCCAGUAAGCCUUGGUAAUCUCUCCCGUACUAGAAAUUUGAUGCCUAUCAGGGCGUUGUCCAACUUCCUUCCAUUGCAAAAUUGGGGCUAUAUCUUUGUCAUCCUUUUGUUCUCCUCUUAUCGUCUCUUCAGACCAAGAUGCUGGUGCACUUAGCUCCACCCGCCUACAAUCCAGGGCUCUUGUUUUCCCUUCUACUUUUGUGCAAUGCUUUCACUUCUGCUUACAAGGUCGUCGUGGGCUUGUCCCUUCCUGUGUUGUGUUUCAAAAUCAUAAGUCUGUAAUCUUUCUAACCAUCUAGCUACUUGUCCUUCCGGAUUCCUGAAGGAAAGUAGCCAUUGGAGGGCCGCAUGGUCUGUUCUCAAAUUAAAUCUUUGUCCAUCGAGAUACUUGUGAAAAUGUUUAAUGGAGUCCAUCACAGCUAGCAGCUCACCUCUAGUCUCACAAUAAUUUCGUUCAGCUUUAGACAAACUUCGGCUAAAGUAGGCUACCACUCUCUCACUACCGUCCACUUCCUGUGAUAAAACAGCACCGAUCCCUGUAUUGCUAGCAUCCGUGUCAAGUUGAAACACAUUACCUGGUAGAGGAUAAGACAACAUGGGCGAUGAGAUGAGAGCCUCUUUCAAUCUUUCAAAAGCUUCUUGGCAACCUGGCGUCCAUUGAAAUUGCGUCUUCCUCUUAGUCAAUCGGUGAAGGGCUCUAGCGAUAGUGGACAAACUGGGUACAAAGCGUCUGUAGUAGCUGCAAAGACCCAAGAAGCUUCUGAGCUCAUGAAGAUUAGUAAUUAUAGGCCAGUACUUGACGACUCCCCUUUUUUCUGGAUCCGUGCUUACCCCGUCUUUGGAUACAAUAUGUCCCAAAUAUUUAACUUCCCUCUUAAAGUAUGAGCACUUCUUCGGAUUUAGUUUCAUUCCCGCACUUUGAAUACGCUGCAUCACUUCCUUCAAGUUAUGUAUGUGUUCAUCAAAUGUCUUUCCGAAGACUAUAAUGUCAUCUAGGUAAACCAGGCAAGCAUUCCAAUUUAAGCCCCACAAAACUUGUUCCAUCAGUCUCUCAAAAGUUGCCGGUGCAUUGCAGAGCCCGAAAGGCAUAACCGUAAAUUGCCAUAGUCCGUUUCCAGUGCAGAAAGCUAUUUUCUGUUUGUCAUCAAUGUGUAAACCUACUUGCCAGUAGCCGCUUUUGAGGUCUAGGGUUGAGUCCCAGAAAGAGUGUCUAGUGUGUCUUCGAUACGUGGAAGUGGAUAGCUGUCUUUUUGUGUGACGUUAUUUAAAGCCCUGUAGUCAACGCAAAAACGCAGAGAGCCAUCUUUUUUCUGAACCAGAACAACAGGCGAGCACCAUUGGCUGUUAGACGGCUCUAUAAUUCCUUGUUCCUUCAUUUGUUCCAACAUGUGAGCGGCCUCUUGUUGCUUUGCUAAUGGUAAUCGCCGUGGUGUUUGCCGGAUUGGUCUAGUGUUACCUGUAUCUAUCCUAUGGAUUACCAUAAUAGUCCGGCCACCUUCAUUUUCACUGUCGUGCAUGAUGUCUUUAAACUCUAGCAACAGUUGUUUAGCUUUAUUGUACUCUUCCUCUGACAGAUUCUCGCCCACAUCUCCAAGCAUUAGAUCAACUCGAGAGUCACAUAACGAUGCACUAGCUACAGGGGCCACCGCACCACAGGUUGCAAUAAGCUCCACUGGGCAACAGGUGGCGAUAACAUUAUUCUUUUGUAGGUUGCAAACUUGAGUGUCAACGUUCAUAACCCGAACAGAUAAUCUCCGGUCUUCUCUGCUAACUACCAAUAUUCUCUCAACUGGCAUCCUUCUGCAUGCUUCCUUUGACUGCUCUGUGAGGCUUGUGAUAGACAUAGUAUCGUUGGGAGAAUAUACACAAAAUGUAGCAGUGUCAUGGAAACAUUUAUUUAGAUCUUUCACUGAACCGUAUCACUUAGAUGGCUGCUUUGUCAAGCAGUAUGCGGGCUGGACUAUCAUUUAGUCAUUUGGAUAUUUCCCGGUUCAUAUCCUGCCUGCUGGCCAUCCCCCUUAUCCUGUAGGCGGUUAGGGCUAGGAUGAAGAUAAUAAUCAGAAUCUGAAGGAACAUUCAAAACAUGCAAAAUAAAAACUAAAUGAAAUUGCAAUAAACGUUUUGGACAUUCCUUCAGAUUAUUACACCUAGCCCAGACAUGUUGCAGGACUACAGGUGAAGAAAGUGGUCCAGUUUUGACCUUGGUAGCAUUGUGACCACACUCCAGGCAGUCAUCCUUUAAUUGUGUACAAGUAAUUGUUCUGAGAUCCUCUCAACAUUAAUUCUACUUGAAUUUCAAACUCUGAUGUAAAGUAAAUGUUAAGCAUGGAAUGGAAAAUCUUGUAACAACAAGAGAAGAGAGCAGUAGCUGUUUGACAUACAAUUUAUUUAAAGGUACUCACUCUGGAAAGAUUUAGCGAAAUUUGUGGAACAGUUGUUAGCAAAAUACCUCUAAAAAAAUGUCUCACUUUCAGACCUUGUAGUCUAUAGGGCAGAUGAUGUAAAGGCCAUCUGUUUCUGUGGCCUAUGGUUAACAAAGGUGUCAUAUGGCCAGCACAAUGACUAACCGCCUUUACCUAUCCUCAACUAAUGUCAGGUACCCAUUUGAGCUGGGUGGACUUGAAGAUCCUGCAAUUAAAAAUCUCAAUCUUCAUAAUGCCUGUAUGUAAGCUUGUAUUGUAAAUGUUAGUGAGAAUGUUAUACAUGAUGAUUUAUUCAGAAAGUCAUUAUCUUUAUUGUAUCAAUUAAUAUUAUAAAUAGCUUAAUUCUAUUGCACGAAAUAAAUUUCAAAUACAUACACUAUGCCAUUCCUUAGAAGUCAUUGUCUUCCGGUCGAAAGUUAACAGUGCAGUAUUGCUCCUAACUAGGCAGACCUGCAUAUUGAGUAACACUUACAAUGAAAAUAACAACAACACAGUGUUUACUGAAUAUGUAUUAAAAUUCUGAUAUUGACGUCUGUGUGUCUUCAUUUAGGGCUAUCUUUGGGUCUUGAAUGUGUGCCCCAUCACUCCCAUCACUUUUGUGAGACCUCUGUGUUUCUUUCAGAUGCCAUGAUUUGUCAGUUGUUUUCCAUGUUGUCAGUGAGAGUAAACUGACACCUGAGUUGAAUGUAUAGCUCUUCAAUCUCGCCAAAAAAAAAGAUUACUUUUAGCAUUUCAUCAUCCCCACAGCAUAUCUAUCAAAUAAUAAGAAGUGCUUGCACAAAUAACCAGCAGAAAAUGGUUGCUGGUAAGAUAGUCUUGCCAUCAAAAGCCCAUAUUGAGGACACCUUUGAUGUAUUGUACUGGUUAAUUUAUUAUAAGCAAUCAUUUUAAAAAGUAAAGUUCCCCUUUCAGACCUUGAGAUCUAUAGGGAAGAUGAUGUAAAAGUCAUCUGUUUCUGUGGCCCAUGGUUAACAAGGGUGUCAUGUGGCCAGCACAAUGACCAACUCCAUUUACUUUUCCCAAACUAAUAGAGCUGCUAAGACUCAGAGGCGCCAUAAAGAUUCCAAUUUUUUAAAUCCCAGUCCUAAGUAAUUAUUUACCUAAGGUUAUUUUGGUAUGUACUUUGUCAUUCUGAUACUUACAAUUUUUUCAGGAGUCAUGCACCAUUUUUUUUCUUUUUGUUGUAACUCAGAAAACCUAAAAGCAUAACAACCUAAAUUAGUGUUACAAAAUGUAACACUUUGUAAAUCAGUUUUGAUCAGCAUUUUCUGGGAGAUGUUUAGAUUGAUUCUGUCAACUAUAAUACUUUUUAAAAACCAUCCCAUUAUUGUAUUACCGGUAUGUCUUGUAAAACUGGUAUAGCUAUUUAAAUGUAAUUUUGAA